UACGGAGGGUGCGAGCGUUGUCCGGAAUCACUGGGCGUAAAGGGCGCGUAGGCGGCAUGCCAAGCGUGUGGUGAAAGCCCGGGGCUCAACCCCGGGUCGGCCGUGCGGACUGGCGUGCUCGAGCACUGUAGGGGCGGGUGGAAUUCUGGGUGUAGCGGUGGAAUGCGUAGAGAUCCGGAAGAACACCGGUGGCGAAGGCGGCCCGCUGGGCAGGAAGGCUCGCAAGAGCCGGCUGACGCUGAGGCGCGACAGCGUGGGGAGCAAACAGG
rnacentral:rRNA from 1 species